UACGUAGGGGGCAAGCGUUGUCCGGAAUCAUUGGGCGUAAAGCGCGCGUAGGCGGCCCGGUAAGUCCGCUGUAAAAGUCCAGGGCUCAACCCUGGAAAGCCGGUGGAUACUGUCGGGCUAGAGUCCGGAAGAGGCGAGUGGAAUUCCUGGUGUAGCGGUGGAAUGCGCAGAUAUCAGGAGGAACACCGAUGGCGAAGGCAGCUCGCUGGGACGGUAACUGACGCUGAGGCGCGAAAGCGUGGGGAGCGAACAGG
rnacentral:rRNA from 1 species